GCAACCUGGUCUCACAGAAUUCCGUGAAAUGUCCACGGGUCCUUAACUCAAAAUCCGUGAAGCCAUCACGGAAUUGCCCCAAAUUCCGUGACCCGGCCACGGAUAUUUCUCCAACGCAAGUCAAUGACACUGACCUCCCGUGAUCCACACACGGAUACCCGUUUCAAUGACGGAGUACAGAACUCGCUGAACGGACGUGCUUUCUCAUUUGGAAACGCAACAUUUGAAGUAUUUGUUUCUUUUCCAAUAUCAAAUGCCAUAAUGACAUUAACCAGACAGCUGUUGUAGUUAUUGCAUUGUCCUGUCAUCAUAAAAAUUACGUUUGUUUCAGUUACAAAAGUCCCGUGAUGGCACGGACCUCCACAACCUGACCUCACUCACUUGUUUAGGAACUUACAAGCUUUUCGUCGACACUGUUGCAAUGGCAUGUAAUUAACUUGGCAUUUUUUUCUCGUCCUGUCAUCAUAAAAUCCAGUUUGAUGGCGUUUUACACACAUUUUGGCUAUAGUCAGAACUAAAAUCUGUGAUAGGAGCACGGAGUGAGUCUGUGCUUAGAUCACGGAUAACUCUAACGCAAGUCAAUGACACUCAUCUUCCGUGGUCCGUACACGGAUCGUUUCAGUGAUGGAGUACAGACCUCACUCAAUGGACGUGCUAUCUCAUCUGGAAACGCAACAUUUGAAGUAUUUAUUUUUUUCAACACCAAAUACCAUGACCAACCUGACUGUUAUUGUAACUAUUGCAUUGUCCUGCCAUCAUACAGAUUCACUUUGAUUCUGUUAGCCUAACUAAAAUCUGUGAUACGAGCACGGAGUGAGUCUGUGCUGAGAUCACGGAUAACUCUAACGCAAGUCAAUGACACUCAUCUUCCGUGGUCCACACACGGAAACCCAGUCUCACGGCAGUUCGUGAUUUUGUCACGUAAUUUAAUCUAUUUAUUCGUGGCAGGCACACGUUUAUUUCCUUAUUUUCAUGAUUGCAGCACGUUUUUUUAAACUAAUGCAUUUCAACUGGAGGCAUCUUUCGUGCAUCAGCACAAUAUUUUCUGAUUAAUUAUUAUUAUUAUUAUUUAAUUUUUCACAGGACAACAGAAGAAACUCACUGAAACUUGAAAAAAAAAUCGGAGCUUAACUUACUGUACAAAACUGAGCAACAUACUGUAUUGCUGGUGACAAAAACACAUUAAAACUUUUUUAGCUGUAAAAUGCGCAAUGGUUCUUUUUUUACUUUUUCAUUGAUUUUUAUUUUUUUCAUAGGCCUAGAUUUAAUUUUUUUUAAUUACAGAAUUCAAUAUCAAGUCCUUGACACAUAACUGUAACACAUUUUCACAUUAAGAAACAAUUUAGUUUAAAUAAAAAGAACAAGAAAUAUCUAAAAAUAAAUAAAUUAUUUAUUAGCGAUAGGCCUACAGAUUUAUUUUUUUUUAUUUAUUUUUUAUUUUUUUACUUUAGACUCUAAAGUUAAAAGUUUUUAUUAAGGCUAUUGUAAAGGCUUCUUAAAAAUGAUGUCGCUGAUGAGCCUCUGAUCGCUGUCAGAUUCUGUGAUAUGAAUGUCCGCUAAUGGGUUUAGAAUGAGCCCCGCUCGGCCCGUGUUCUGGCUUACUGUAAUAUUUCACCUGUAAUAAGACCGAAAUAAUAUAAUUAAAAUAAAGAAAUGAAUGAAUACAUGAUAACAUCUACAUAAAUGUUGAUAGAUUUAGCGUUAUAGUUUUAAAAAUAUUAAUAAACAGCAAAUCAACACAGAAAGACCUAAAUAAUAAUAAUACAUAAUUAAUAAACAGCGCCGCCCCUCCCACUACGCGCAUCACGCGCUGUGCGUCAACCCCAAAGCGUCAAAAACUGAAGCGUGGUCAAGCGCCUCUAGCGUCACUGACAUGAGAUGUUUAUCGCUUUGAAAUCACGUUCAAGAAGUCUCAUUCAGCACACAUCGCGAUACUUUCCAUCAGUUUGCAAGAGCCGCAGGUUGGGUGAGUUAUACAGUCUAUGGUGAGUAGUAGUAAAUAUGCUAUUUUAAUGCCUGUCCUAAAACGUAUUCUGUCUUCUUUAUUAAUCAGAUGAGCGCCUUAUGUUUACUCUCUGUAUUACAUCGGUCAUCCGAGGCUGUCUUUGAGUUUCAUUGUGUUUAACUAAAUGAACACAGCUGCUAACUGGUUAAACUCUAUCGGUCACGUGACGUGACGUGACGUGCCACAGACCUGGGAUCCGUUUUAUAUUCAUUUCAGGUUCAAAGAUCUGAAAAGACGUAAAGUAAGCAGUCACCCCAGUGGUGUUUGUGGAGAGGUAUUCCUUCAGAAAUGGAGAAGACAGAAAGCUGCAGAGGCAGAAGUUUUUGGGGAGCCAACCCUCACAAACCUUCCUAAAAACUAAAAGAGCUAUUACUGAGUCUCAGCGACUCUUGCCACGAUCAGCUCUUCCCAGAAGAGAAGGAAGACCAAGGAAAUGAUUUGCUCAGGAUGAGAAAUGAAGAUGGUCAUCUUGUGCUCAAGCAAACAGAAGUCCUCUGUUUUGUGUGUGUUGAAGCAAUGCUGUGUUACAGGACUUUAUGAUGAUCUCUCACAGGACUGGUCAUGUCAGCCGUAAUUAUUCUUUCCAAUGUUUUUAUAUUUAUUUUAUUUUAUUUGAUACAGCUAUAAUAAUUAUAGCAUGUUAGCAAAGUUUGACUGGAACAUUUUUAAUCUAAAGUUUUUAAAAAACACCACCUGUUAUUCUUAAAAGCAUACAAGUGUCAUAAAAGUGGUUUAAUUGAUAUAAACACCAAUUGACAUUAUCUCACUGUUUUGUGAAUGUUGUGUUAUAAAUUGUGAAUUGAUAGUUGAUUGGUUUGAGCAAAGCCUUACACUGCACAGACUAAAACACAUUUGUGAGAGAAGUCAUUAGCUCUGGAGAAAGACUCUAGAGGAAGAAAACACAUUUACUGCAACAAAAGAUGAAUUCUAGAGUCUCUGAGAAGUACACAUGCUAAUGGAGUCUCAUGAGCAAGUCCUUUGCCUCUGUAACUUUUUCUAAAUUGUUGCAUAAUGAAAUUGUUUAUUGCAGUAUUUUAACAAUUUUACUUUGUACAGAUGAUCUCAUCAACCAAAUGAGGGGUUUUGACCAAGUGAUGCUCUUGAAAGGAGUGAAAGAAGAGGAUGUGGUAAAUUGUCUUCAGAGAAAAAGCUUCUCAAAAGAUCUUAAAACAGCUUGAAGAAUGGUCUGGGAUCUUAGGACUGGGAGAUCUCACUUGCACCCAGUUAACCUCCAUAGAGAACAUUUAUCAGAAGCGCUGUCUGGGUAGGGCAAGAAACAUCAUCAAGGAUGCCUCUCACCCUAACCAUGGACUUUUCACCCUCCUUCCAUCCGGCAGGCGUUACAGGAGCCUACGCUCUCGAACUAGUAGACUCAGGAAGAGCUUCUUCCCCGAGGCUGUGACACUCCUGAACACCACACCACCAAUCUAACCUGCACCUGCUCUUUUACUGCACUGGUCACAGUACUUUACAUACAUGUAUUGCACUACUCAUAUUUUGCACAGACUGCACAUGGUUAAAUCCAUUACACUAUAAACUGUCUAAAGCUGUUACUGUACAAGCACAGUAAACUAUUUCUACAAUAAAUAUAAUUGCACUACUAUUAUUUUGCAUAUAAUAAAUUGUUAAACUAUACUUUUGCACACUCAUUCAACUGUAUUUAUUACCACUGUUCUCAAGUUCCUGCUAUUCAUAAUGUAUAUAUAAUUCUUCUUUGCUCUGUUCAUAAUGUACAUACAAUCCCUACAUUAAAUUCAUAUUUAUAUUCUGUAUAUACUCUGAUCAAUAUUGUAUAUAGCAACUCCACUGUAAAUUCUGUAUAUCAUAGCUUUACUUACUCUGCACUUUUAUGUAUAUAAAACACUAUAUUCUUGCACUUCUGGUUAGAUGCUAACUGCAUUUCAUUAGCUCUGUACUUGUACUCUGCAUAAUGACAAUAAAGUUGAAUCUAAUCUAAUCUAAUCUAAUCUUCUGGCUGAGAACAAGCUACACCACAUCAGUGCUGGAUAUCAACCAAAAGCUGUUUCCAGACACGAGAGAAGAUCACGAUGAAACCAGUUUAGAUGUGUUGAUAAGGAAUCAUUAUUUUCUGAAACAGUAUCAAAUGUCUUAUAUGUAUCACAUGAUCUGUAUCACAGUUGACUGGAUGGGACUGUGACUUUUAAGGACAUUUCAUCACUCAUCUGUGUGAACUGAUUAAUAUAUGAGGUUAAUGUAUUUUUGAUUAUGAAUAAUUAUUUUCCUUGAAUCUUAUUUGUCUUGAUGCUACUUUAUCAUCUUUAUAGUCUAUGCUUCA